GUAAACUCCAUGUAGAUUGUUUAUGGGCACCAACUUCCGUUUCAAUUCGAUUUACGAUAUCUAGGCGUUUUUGCAUACCGACCCGUGAACUGGCACAGUAGCUACGGGCAAGUAAUUACUAAUUUACCUAAAGAGUUAAUUAAUAGUAAAAAGUGACUAAAGGUUACCACGCAGGGUAUGAAAAUUGCUAGGGAAGGGCUUUCAUUUAGGAAUGUUUCCUUUCGUGAUAUCGGCGAAAUCUCGCGCUGAAUCUGCGACUUGGACCGUAAAAAAUAUUGGAUUUCUGAGGAUUAUGGAAAUAUUUCUCGCGGCAGUAUUCAAAACAUCAACACGGUUAGGUUGCAUUGACUAAAGAUCAAGACAACCGUUUUCGCUUUAGGCAAACGGCACAAUUAUCCAAAAAUUUGCAUUGGGAAAAUCGAACUUUUGUCCCUUGCUAUUGAAAAUCGCUGAAUCGUUACGUCUGUUGUAUUUAAUCAGCAUAAUGUGUUUACUUUGACAAAUCGAGAUUUCAACGAUUGUCGCAAGAGCAUAUUUCGAUGCAUAUUUGCCUCGAAAAUUAAAGAACUUUCUUCGCAUUUCAAUCGGUUUUCUAAAGAGGAACGAAUGAUCAACGAAGGUGCCGAGGGCGCUGUAGUGAUUCGUUUCCGGUUUCGUCGAAACGUGGUUUUCCGGUUACCCGUCUUGUCACGUAGCGGAGCUAAUAUACAAGGAUUAUUUUUAAAAGAAAUAUUAACUGAUUUACAUACUUAUGUAUUUACUUUUGUUAAUACAAAGAACACACAGAUAUAAGAUGUCAACUUCUGGUUGGUUAACUGUUAUGUUUUUUUCCAUAAACAAUAUAAAACGUACGCGACUUCAACAAGUUGACUCCUUGAAAGGAUUCCCAAGAAUUAGCACUAGGCCGCUAGUUGGACAAACUUUGUUGUCACCUUUAAAAAAGUCGGUCCGGAUUUAUUUUCAAGGAAGGAAAAAAUUGUGUCAGUAUGUAUGGCUUGAGAAGAAAAAAAAAUAGUAACGGCCUGUUUUAGUUUCAGCGGAAAUAAAUGAAAUUCAGGACAAACCUAGCCUAAAUGAAAUUUAACUGGGAUUGCGGUAGAUGAACUUUAUUCCUUGUUGAUAAGUUCUAGUAUUUCAGUAUAAUAUAUUGAUAAAUAUUAGCAGCUCACAAGUCUAUUUUGAGACAUGCAUGUAUCGAUUCUUGGCUUAAAACAAAAACGCACCACCCAGUGUUUCAAGGGAAAAAAACGUUACUUCGCUUAAUCAAUAUUAAUGGCCCGUGGAACGUAGUCUUUGUUUGGCUAUAUAAAUAUAUACUGAGAUGUUGGCUUUCAAUCAUUGAAAGCAAGUUUUAGUGUUUUGCAGUAUCGUUGCAAUGCCUUCGUAUUCAUUAUUUUCCCAAAUAAACUUGAAAGGGGGUUAGAAACCUUCGUAAUGACUGGGAUCGGAGAAACCAGCACUUGGGAAUUAAUUAACAAGUAAAAUUACGAAAGUAAAUUUGGUAUAAACAUUUUACCAUUUAUUUUUAAUUCUCGCGAAGAUGAUUAACACGGUUCGAUAACUUGAAAAUUUAGUAUGGCUCGAAAUCUGAAAAGUGAAAACCUCUGCACGUACAGAAAAUAGUAACUUAAAAUGUAUCAAUCUAUUGAUAUCUGCCUUUUACACACGUAAGGGUUGAAAACUUAUCGAAUUUCAAAUUUCCCAAUACAAGUGGCGAAUUCGAAUUAUUCUUUCGUAUAGGUAUAGGCAGCCUUUGAAUUUGUCAGCUCGGCGAGGGGCUAUGUACACUCUUGUAUACUUUUUCUUCGCUAAAACUGACCUGAAACGGCAAUUUCACCUCUAUUGACUCCCACAGUUAAGAGUAUUCUGGAGUAUUUUCUUACUACUGACAGCUUCGAUCCCUGGCUGACAUUGUUCAUAUUUUAUCUAGCGUUGCAACAAACGCAAAAAAAAAAAAAAA